rnacentral:rRNA from 1 species
GUUGCUUCGGCGGGCCCGCCAGCGUUGCUGGCCGCCGGGGGGCGACUCGCCCCCGGGCCCGUGCCCGCCGGAGACCCCAACAUGAACCCUGUUCUGAAAGCUUGCAGUCUGAGUGUGAUUCUUUGCAAUCAGUUAAAACUUUCAACAAUGGAUCUCUUGGUUCCGGCAUCGAUGAAGAACGCAGCGAAAUGCGAUAACUAAUGUGAAUUGCAGAAUUCAGUGAAUCAUCGAGUCUUUGAACGCACAUUGCGCCCCCUGGUAUUCCGGGGGGCAUGCCUGUCCGAGCGUCAUU